CGCUGGGAGGGUUUCACACCCCACACACCCUUUAAUAUACGCCUCUGCAUAUAAAGCGCUCGAACGCUGCGCGUCCUCGGGGUCUCUGAUAUCCUUGACCCUCUGUCCUCGACAUAUUUCCGCACAUGGCCCUCUGUCCUCGACAUAUUUCCGCAAAUAGAGAGUCUGAGCAAGACAACGAAGUCGGACGACGACAAGGUGGUUGACAAUGUUUGCCUGUCUUGUACAUUACCUUGCGCAUUCUGAGUUUAGGGUCAGGAGUGAAGACAGAUUAGAGAUUCAUGUCUAGCUGUUUGUGAAUGCUGACCCAAAUCCUUACCCUGAUCAGGAUAAAACAGCGAGAUAUGAAUCCAUAUCCCGUCUUCGUCUUCUGCCUUCGUUCACAACGAAUAUUUUGGCAAAAUUCGUUGUGAACUUCGUUCUGCACGAAAGCAGAAGGACAAAGACAUGAUAUAGUUUCAUGUCUCGCUGUUUUUUUCUGUAUCAGGGCAUGAAUUAUGGUCAGUAUCAUAAGCAGUGACACAUGGGAAGACACGUUGAGCAACCACCACUUACGUCAACACCGGUAUGUGCAAGAUAAUGUACAGAUGGCAAAAAUUGUCAAGUAUGCCUUCGUCUUCGUACUUCGUUGUCUUGCUCCUCCUUUUCGGUUCUUUAUCUACCUAUCUAUUACUUCAUAUAUACUUGCCGACUGAUAAUAAAAUACAAACCUUGAAGGUAUUUGCUUAAAAAUAUAUAAAAAUACGUUUAUAUUUGUAGCAGACUGGAAGGGUAUGUGAUAGUAUGCUUUUAUUUCAAUUUCAUUUCAUUUCAUUUCAUUUCAAACCAUAUUUUUUGCGUCUUUAAAACUCACAAAAUAUUUUAUUUUUAAGUGCCUACAAUAGUAUCUGUUGCUUAUGUCAAGAGGAAACCCGAAAUCGGGUUUCGAUAAUCUCCUUAGCCCCUAUGACAAGUUUAAACGAGUUCACUUCAAGUUUUAAGCGUUUUUUUGAGGGGUAGUUCACAUUUUUCGCAAGCAACUGGCAUGUACACUUUGCUUAGCAAAUUCAUCAUCACAAAUAGAUUUUCGUAAACAGUGAAAAUCCUUUUCGUAUU
rnacentral:lncRNA from 1 species